UAUUAUUAAGGGCAAACCUGUCGAAAGAUAGGGACGCAAAGCCAAGGGCCUAAGGUAAAUUUACUAUGGUAGCCGGUUGCUCAA
rnacentral:ncRNA from 1 species